rnacentral:rRNA from 1 species
AUGGAGGGGACAGAAGGCGAAGGAGGUGGAGGAUACCGGCUUCAAGCUGGAAACAGAAAUGGCGUAGGCAUCUUGAUCAACAAGAGCCUCAAGUAUGGAGCGGUAGACAUCAAGAGACGGAUUAUCCUGGUCAGGCUGGUAGUUGGGGACUUAGUUCUCAAUGUUAUCAACGCGUAUGCCCCGCAAGUAGGCCACAAUGAGAACACCAAGAGGGAGUUCUGGGAAGGCCUGGAAGACAUGGUUAGGAGUGUACCGAUUGGCGAGAAGCUCUUCAUAGGAGGAGACCUCAAUGGCCACGUGGGUACAUCUAACACAGGUUUUGAAUGGGCGCAUGGGGGCUUUGGUUAUGGCAUCAGGAAUCAAGAAGGCGAAGAUGUCUUAAGCUUUCCUCUAGCCUACGACAUGAUUGUAGCUAACACCCUCUUUAGAAAGAGAGAAUCACAUCUGGUGACUUUUAGUAGUGGCCAACACUCUAGCCAGAUUGAUUUCAUCCUCUCGAGAAGAGAAGAUAGGCAUGCGUGCCUAGACUGUAAGGUGAUACCUGGAGAGUGUUGUACCUCAGCAUAA